CCGCCUAUGAUGGCGCCCAUUUCCUGCUUCCGGGUUCUUCCCGGCCUGAACAAGCCCGCCAAAUUGUCAUAUCUGCCCAGUUACCCGUGACGCUAGCCUAUCAGCUUGUUAGGCGCGCUUCUCUGUGAUUGGAUACUGCUUCCCCUUAUAAGAGGUUGUUCCUGCCCCCAACGGGCGGAAGAGGAACCAACGUUGAGGGUGGCGGACCUUGUCAGGUCCGGUUCGCUGUACGUAAUAAAGUUUGAGAGCUGAUCCUGCUCGAGUUUGGUCUCCUGUCUCCCGCGGCUCCGGUCAUCUGGUGGCCCCCGUACGGGGAAAAAGGUAAAAGACUCAGUGAUGUGCCUCUUCGGCCGGGAGGUGCGAUUGCUGUCGCCUGCGGUACGACGGAGGACCUGGCCCAAUAACAACGGAAGGCCGCGAGCACCUCUUCUCUUCACCCUGAUCAGCUACGUGAGAUACAGCGGUUCCCGGGACAGGAACCAGGCUGCGAACCGCUGUGGGUCCCGAAAAGAUUGACGCGAGCAGUAAACUCCCCACCAGUUCCUGAUAAAGCACAGGAAGAUAAGCCCGCGGACACAAGUCAACUCGACCCUUCUGGGACCGACGCUCAGCGCCCGAGACCAUCUACAAACUAAAAUGUCUGGUUUGGAGCUUUUUCUAUUCUGUGGGUUCCUAUUAAUCACCCCUGUGAUAUGCUCAGAUUCCACAGAACCACCACAAUAUCUUUGGGGUCCUUGGCACCACCCGCCCACAUUGGCACCUUUUUCGGCGGCCUCGCCCACCUCACCCAGGGUUUAUCCUAGUAGGGCUUGUGGUUAUCAAAUGCUUGUUAGAUCGCCUCAUACAAACUCAGCAGCAGGUUAAGAUCACAGCCAUGGCAGCCAUGCAAAUGGCAGCAGGUGGCCCAUCAGGCCAGCAGGCCGCCGCAUAUCUCCUUCACAUUGCAGAACAUCAGCUAUAAGAGCUGAGUGGGCAAGCCAAUGACGGGUAAGACGGGAAAAGCCCUCCCGGUCAACCUAAGACAGGCUCCACUCAGAUAUACAUGGCCUAUAAGGCCAGGGGUCCCUUCUGGAGUCAAAUUAUUGGCAUUGAGAUGCGAGACCAAGGGUACUGCAGUGCCAUCCGCCUCAAAGGUUGGGGGGAAGGCAGGAAUGAAUGUCUAUAUGCAUCCAGGUUCGGUUCACAAAAGCCUGGCCCUGCGAAAAAAUGAACCACUCACCUUGAGCAUGGUCCUGGCGCAAGGAUAUGCACAAAACAGGGUGAUGCACAGCAGGGUAUAGACCUCUACAUUCUCUCAUGCCUCAGCCUACAAGGUAGGCCCACUCCUAGGUGUCUAACAGCAACAAGGUCAUAGACACCUUGGAGGGACCCACAGACCAUCCUAUUUUAAUAAAUAAAAAAGGGGGAGAUGUGGGAAGCCGCCUAUGAUGGCGCCCAUUUCCUGCUUCCGGGUUCUUCCCGGCCUGAACAAGCCCGCCAAAUUGUCAGGUCUGCCCAGUUACCCGUGACGCUAGCCUAUCAGCUUGUUAGGCGCGCUUCUCUGUGAUUGGAUACUGCUUCCCCUUAUAAGAGGUUGUUCCUGCCCCCAACGGGCGGAAGAGGAACCAACGUUGAGGGUGGCGGACCUUGUCAGGUCCGGUUCGCUGUACGUAAUAAAGUUUGAGAGCUGA